rnacentral:lncRNA from 1 species
GUCGGGGUCAGCCUGGAGUGGGAGAAGCUGGCCACUGCCCACAAGGGGCCCUCCCCUGGCUCGUGCUCCUUUCCCUGUUAGAAUCUUCCGGUGAAUGUGAGCCUGGGCCAUGCUUGCUUCUCAGCUCAGGGGAGGACAAGGGAGACCGUCCAGGGGAAAGCCACAGAGAGGACAGGUCCCAACCGUGAGGGACUGGGAGUCUGGCCAGGUGGCAGCUGGGUUGGGGAGAUUCUGGCCUUAGGAAGUCCCCAUGAAAUGGGCCACUGUCCAGCAAGCCUCCUCUCAAACACCUCCUUCUCUGUACCUCCUCAAGGGCCAGAGUCCUUGGUUAGUCGCCAAGAAGUGAGGCCAGCCAGCCCAGGCCCACGGGAAAGUGCCUGCCCUGGAGAAGGAAGAUGGAGGAGCUGCCCCUGCACAGAGGGUCGCCGGCGGAACCCUCCCAAGGGCCCGGCUCAGGGGCUGAUGGGAGUGUGACCAGGGGAGAGGAGGCCUGUGCCCUGGGGGCGGGAGCUCUCUGCUCCUCCGGCUGCUGCAACCUUCAAAGCUCUCCUCUGAACUGUGGUUCUUUGAGCAGCGUCUCGGCAGGAGGGGCUGUCAAAAGCCUUCCCAGGAGGCUGUGGCCAGACUGUCAUCUUUCCCAGCUCCUCCUCAGAAGAGUUCCUCCUGGUGGUGCUGAGCCAUUCACCCUUUCACUUCUGGGUUUUUUAAAUGCUGUGAGCUGACUCCACCGAGCUGGGGAGCAGGGCACGUUGGCCUCAGAAAGGAAGGAACGAGGCUGUCACAGACAAGAGAAGCUCGCAAAGCCAGGCUGGGCCAUAGUGGUGGCCGCCCGACUGGCCCUCAGAACCAGGAGCCCUGGGAUGUCCCUGGCACUGCAGAACCAGGGUGGAGAGUGAGGCAGCCAUCUGCACAGUUCCCAGGGGGUCACCAGAAGCCCCCCUUCCUUGAGCAAAGUGGGUAAAGGAAAUGAACCACCUACUUCUCCCUUUGUCAAGGGACUCCAGCUAUUUCUUCAGGGACGAGGGUGACCAUAUUCUCUUGUUCAAUCCAGAACACUUUCAAGUGAAGGAGGACACUGUUAAUAAUUACACUGUGACAACCGAUGUCCAUCUGGCAAACCAGGAAGGGAGGUCACACCGACAGUGACCCAAUACCCAAGUCACCCUCCAGCCAUCAACACCUCUCCUCACUCAGACCAUUUGCUGAUGGCAUCAGGUGGCCUCAGAACCAGGUGGACACUGUGUGGAGAACAGAGGGGACUAUACCCCUGUCCUCACCUCUGACGGAAAGAUAAAAUCAGCACACCAAAGACCCCCUACCUCCGAAGGGAGGGGAGGCCAGAGGGACACAAAGGGCAGUGGGUGUUCAAAGGAGAGAGAGAAAGAGCUUGAGAAAUCUGUCCCCAAGACUAUUCCAAGAUGGAAGGCAUCCUGGUGGCUUGUCCUUAAGUUUUGGGAUAUUGACUUUAAAUCCUCAAUAGCAUCUUUUCUCAGCCCUGGAAGUUUGAGGAAAAUGCAUGAGAAUGAAUUUAGGGCUUUCUCCCUCCCCCUCCCCCAUUUAUAGCAUCUGACCCCCAAAGCUUGGCAAGAUGCCAGCCUCAUCUUCACUUGGUGACUUCACCCCUUUGCCCUCUCUGGGGACUCACACAGAGUAGGCACAGCAGCGUCUUCACAUGAGUGGGAGGAGUACAUCCAGGGCCACAGAGAAAUCCCAUGGGUCUGCCUUGGACCCUGUGGGGUCAAGGACACUUGUGCAUAACUGGACAUGGCAAGAGCCAUAGCUGAUGGAUCCAGACACGGCCCAGGGCUCAGUGGGCCUGUGGGGCUUUUCACAACCUCAUUAACCAGCCGCCGGAUCUGCUGGCCAUCCCCAGGGCGUGGGAGAAAUAAAAAGCUUCCCCAAAAACUGACACACAAGUGAAGGGGUAGAGGACUUUGGGUGGCUCCCAGGAUCCUGGAUGUUUGUGCAGACUCAAACGGUCUUCAUCGUCUGCCAGCACACCACCGCCUGAGCCAGCAACAGUUGAAGAAGACGGAGCCAUCCCGGCCACCUUUCCAGAGAGGAGGUGGCCUGGCCCCGGGGGUUCACUGUGAGAAAGGCAGUGGAACCUCCUGCUUAGAGACAUUUUUCUUGCACUCCAUUCAUUCCAAAGACCAAGUGUUUUAUUGAGAAGUCUUUCCCAAAAUGCGCCCCCAGCCAGGGGGCAAGUGCCAGGAUGGGGAGUAAAGGAAGCCGCCCACUGGCCCUAACUGGGACUUGCUCCUGGGUGACUUGGCCAAGCACCUCCCGCUCCAGCCUCCACUUCCUCCUCUGGGCAGGAGUCAGGGCCACCUGCCCGCAAGGUGCUGCAAGGGCCGUCUCUGGAAAGCACUUGGAACAGUAAAGAACAGUAGAAAGGCUAGCCAGUAGGAUCGUUAGUGUUCGCUGUUCAGGAGAAGAUCUUCCUUUUGACACACAAACCUCAAUUAACUGGAAUCGCUAGAAGAACGGUUCAUUAAAAUUUCUGGCAAAAUUCCUUUCAAAGAGGCCCUCCUCUACCCAAGCAGGAGAGCUGACUGCUGAGCAAUCAGCAAAGAUGUAGGAAUGUCGGCCAACUUGGGGUGGGACAGAAGGACGCACUGACCCCUAAGAAGUUGCUUCUUAAAACUAAAUUCCAAAAACAUUCAUAGGGUUUUUAUUUUAUUUUUCCUAAAAGAAAAAAAAAAGUCAGCAACUUAAAAAAAAAAAAAAAAAAACUUCUUGAUUUAAAAUUCCAUUUACCCAUAGUCCCAGUUAAAUGAGGUGAGCGCUGAUUCCAUCUCCCCAGCAGCUCCCUGCCUCCCAUCACUCAUCUAUGUCCCCCACCUGUGCCCUCUUAGAUGCAUGGACAGAUUCCCCAUGUGGCCAACCUGAUGUCUUAAGUUCAAAAAUCAUAACCUCCGUAUUUCAGUAGAAAAAGUUCUAUUUUUGUGUGUGUCUUGCGGUGAACUUCAGUCUGGUUAAUUGAGGUUUUAAUGCAUUUUCUUAAAAUCAGACAGAACCUAAUUUUCAGAAUGGCGUCACGUAGAAGGUCAACAGCCUAUCUGGCUACUCUUGAGUUUGGUCCGUGGGACAGAGACCUUUCUAGGAGUAAUCCCUGGAGGUGGAAAGCACUGAUCUGUCCUUGUGAUGGUGGUUUUUGGAAAGAACCUGUCCAUACUGCAGGCAGUAGGUCUUUUAUAUGGAAGAAGAAAACAUGAACUUACCUAUAGUUGGCUAAUGGCUUAAGUUUUCCUGUAAUUUCUGUCUUGAUGUUGAAGGAAGAUGUCUUUUUACUGUUGAAUUUUUUUGUAGACCUUUUAAAAAGUUGUUUCCUCUAAACCCUCUUUUGGGUCAGAAGUGCCUCCUGUGAGGCCACCUUGGUGCUGAGGCCCCUGGAGGGAAGCAGUCCCCACCUUCUCUCCCACAGCUUCCCCCUCAGGCAUGUGUGUCCCCUGCCAGGACCCCUAGUGGUGCCUUUUAUCAGAAAGAGCUCGCUUGUCAACACUCGAGGCCUCCCCUGGGCUGACCUAUGUCCCUGGUCUCCAGCGUGCGCCAUUUGGGCAGCCACAGGGAGCCGGGCGGCUUCUCCUCACUCACCGUACCAAGAUGCUGAUGAGAGAGCUGGCAAGGUUUCUAACUUCUUGCUGCCUUUUGACACUUUAGCAAGUGGUUUCCAAAGCCCCCCAGCCAUCCCUGACCCCUCAAGGAAGAUGACCCCUCCCCCCCAUAGGUGGUCUCUUGCUUUUCCUGGCUCUGCCCCCCUUUAUUUGGGCAUCCCAUGAUGAUUUCUCUACCUCUUCUCUUGCAUCUGCCCUUAUUUUGUUUCCUUUUCUUUUUUUCCUCCCCUGUCACUGACCCCGUCUCUUUUUGUCUCCUUCCCAUCUCUCCGCAAGAGCUCCCUGGGCCUCCCUGCAGUCCACCUCUCCGGCUUCCCCAGGGAGGGAGAGUCUGCAGUCUGUCAGCCUCUCUGACAGCUUCGUCUGUCUGCCGGCCUAACCCUCCCACAGCCUCCCAUUUAAAUGGAUUCUUUGACAGAUGUAUCUUACUAUGUUCUCCAUUAGAGGGGAGAGUACACACUUCCAUUGGAUUUGAUUUUUAGUUUCUAUUAUAAAUCUGGUAAAAACAUCCUUAUCCUUACCACCAGGGAAGAGAUACUUUGUUCUUUCUUCGCUGUUUUGGUUUUCGCCUUCGCGGUCCUGAGCAAAGUCCCUAGGGUUUCCUAUUGGCUUGAAGUUCCGUGUGUCGCAGCCAACUUCUUAGGACGGGCCUGCGACCUGCUACGCCUCAGCGGAGGAAGGCAGCAGAUUUAGUGCACGGGGUAUUUAUCAACUGAAAGGGGGAGACAGAUGUGGUAUUUUGUGAUGCCUUCGUGAGACACUUUUCUGUUCACGUCAGUAAGUCACACACUUUUCCUUAUGCUUUUCAGGGGUUUAUCGUUUUUAACCACAUAGAUGUCUAUUUUUUCCUGAUUUAAAGGGUCGUUCUGGCUCAGGCCUGAGUUGGUGCCCACCCCCCUUCCACCAAACCCGGAUGGAAGGCUGCGCUGAGCAGGGAAGGGCUCAAAUUCCCUGCACAGGAAAAGACCAGCAAAAUGCUUCAGGCUGUGUUCUUUCCUUCCCCCUUGGGAACCCCGGGGGUUCCUCUGAUGCCUGGGCUGUUGGAAUCUGGGAUUAGGCUGAUAAGCCAUGAGACACAGAAACACAGGCCUGGUAUUCGUGGCAGACUAUGGAAGAACUAAUCUUUUUCUUAAAAACCAAUUCUUUGGUUCAUGGCUUAACCUGAAGUGAACAAGCCAGUUCGUUGGUCAUCCAGGCCCCCAUGGAAGAUCCCCAGUAUCUCCCAUAUGAUGAUCAGGGGUCUGCAGGGUCCCUGUCACCACAGCCAUUAGAAGUCAAUGGGUGUGCUGUGGAACGUCAGUGUAAAUCUCCAAGUGUUUCUAUAACCAAAGGGUUCAUAAAACUGGGUUUAAGAGGAAAUUAGAACCCACAUUUUCCCUGGUAAUAAAGAUAUUGGGGCAGGUUCACUGGGAGGCAGCGAUGUCUCUGGGAAUAUGAUUAGGCACGGACCCUGUUCAAGUUUAUGUCACAUGAGCCCUCACCCAGCAGAGACAGAGGCCAAGGAGCAACGGGCAGCAACCCUGAUUGGCCGAGAUGACUAUCUUGCGUGGCACCAGCCUUGGGGGGCUGCUGGGUCUAGGCUGAGGCGCAGCUUCUGGUCCCCUGUUCAAACCUUAACUUUGUCAUAAAGCAAGGAUGCCCCACUGGGAAGGGGACCCUGGAGGAGGUCUGGUAUCUCCAGCCGUUUUCUAUUCUGAAAGUGCCUAAGGCAUUGCUUAGCAAGGCUCUUCCAAGUGUGUGCAGGCUGGCGGUCAGUGCUCAGGGCCCUCAGGCUGCCCACAGCUGGCUGCUGGCGAGGGAGGAAGAAGCCUUCCAGGGAGCCCAGACAUCAGAGAGCCAUCCCACAGUGAGGUGGUGACACAGUGCGUGAUGGCCUGUGGGGGCCUCCCAUGGGCCUGGGCAGGACUGCUGAGCCUCCAACCAGGGCUUUCCUCCACCAACCCAGAGCCCUCUCAGUCCCCAUCUCUAGGCUUCACCGAACACAAAGCCAUUCCUGGGCCUCUUCGGUCAAGGAUCUAAAAGAAUUUUAAUCACCUUAUAUAUUGAAUUGCUUUCUUUACAAAAGUAUAGAGCCUCAUAUCAUAUCCUAGUGAUUUGAUAAAAAUGCCAUUUCUGCCAGGAAAACAUUACUAAGAACAAGGUGUGGAUUCCCUUAUUCCUGAUGCUUCCCUUCUGCCCAGCCCAACAUGGGGAAUGUCCACCGCAUCCCAGGCCGACCUUACCAGCCAGUUUAUUGAAGCCAUUGGAUUUUAAGCUUUUGAUCCCUUAACUCUUUCACUGAAACUUUUUUGUGUCAUGCAGUACACUUGGUGGACAAUAUUUAAAUGUACAGUAUUUUAUUUCCCUGAUGAACUUGAUCAUGUAAUAAUAGUUUCUCUUGCUGCAGAGUCUUUGGACAUUUUCAGAAAUGUUUAAAUCUUCAUACCUAUUUUAUAUAGGGGUUGUGCCAUAACUAAUUUCACACAUGUAAAUACCUUUGGACACUUCUUGGUGUUUUAAGUUCUGUUUGUUUUUUAUUGAGAUCAUUACUGCUAUGAUUCUAUUUUCUUUCUUAAUUCUAGAUAUUUUUUUUUCUGGUGCACUCAAUUUAUUCUUUUCAAUCACCCUGAAUAUUGUGAAAGUUUAUUUAUUUUUUGUCAUUUCUGUAAGUAGAUUUUUUUUAAAUAAGUGCUUUAUUUAAGCAGUAAAUUCUUUGAUAAUAUUGACCUUAAAAGAUUGGUUCUUCUAAAGCUACCUACAUCUUCCCAUUAUCAGGUGCCAUUUCAACAACAACAACAAAAAAAAAAACUUGUUUCUUUGCUGCACAUUUCUGUCCUGGCCAUUUUUGACUUUGACUUUUAAUUGCCAGUGGUUCCAUUUGCUGAUACUAGUUCUCUGGACAGCAGUGUCUUUUGUCCUUCCAAUAACUUCCAGGCUAAAAUUGAAUGGCAGGAAAAAUGCCCCCCACCCUCACCAAGAAGCCAGAGUUAACCUAAAUUCCCACUCGCCAGAUGGCUUCACAAGUGGCCCCUCAAGUGUCUGGAGACUGGGGACACGUCUCCAACCUCACCUAUUUGAAAACUCCUGCUUCCCACUUCUGCACCUCGAGGUGGGCCUCAACGUGGAGUUCCAGAAAGAUGUGAGGAGCCAGGCACGGUUCACCAAGGAGGCAGCAGGCACAGAGGUAGCAGUGUGGCCCUGGGGUAAAGUCCCCAUGGGGAGGGACAGGAGGCUCAGUUCUAGUACCAUUCUGUCACGGGUGCACCAAGUGGUCGCCUUUCUGGGCUUCAGUUCUGUCAAGUGCAGAGGACAUUCAUAACAACUUGAACAUUGUGAAUUAACUGAACCAAUCAGUCUGUUCCUUGAAAUGUAAUUUUGCUCCUGCCCAGAUGUGGAGGAGUUUAGCCAAGGAAUGAGACCUUCUUUUUAGGAAGAGAUCCUACACCCCCCACCCCACCAAACGCAAGGGCCAAGGACUUGAACUGCGAUGUUAUCUCCGGUAUCCUAAAGAUCAAAGGUGAACCCCAGAGAGUGAUUUGGGAAGAUGAAUUACUAAUGCCACGAAACAAAGGCUCUUUUGAAGAGGCCACAAGCUAAAAACUAGAAACACUGACUAACUAAAUUAGCAAAAUAAGUAGAGGACAGUUAGUCCUCAUUGCACUGUAACUUAGGAAAAUGUAGCUAGAAAAUUCCUUGCUGAAAGUGGCCCUUGACGUCUGUGUUGUCCUAACGUUUCAUGUUGCUCUUUUGUAUUUAUUCUCUAUGAUGUAAAUACUUUUCAUUGUAAAAAAAAUGUAAAUAUUAAUUAUAUAUUUUGCUCUUGUCUUUUUUAAAAUGGAAGUUGAUCCAAGUAAUAAAUCACAGAUCAUCU